rnacentral:rRNA from 1 species
CCUACGGGUGGCAGCAGUGAGGAAUAUUGGUCAAUGGACGCAAGUCUGAACCAGCCAUGCCGCGUGCAGGAUGACGGCUCUAUGAGUUGUAAACUGCUUUUGUACGAGGGUAAACCCCGAUACGUGUAUCGGGAUGAAAGUAUCGUACGAAUAAGGAUCGGCUAACUCCGUGCCAGCAGCCGCGGUAAUACGGAGGAUCCGAGCGUUAUCCGGAUUUAUUGGGUUUAAAGGGUGCGUAGGCGGUUUGAUAAGUUAGAGGUGAAAUGUCGGGGCUCAACCCCGAAACUGCCUCUAAUACUGUUGUACUAGAGAAUAGUUGCGGUAGGCGGAAUGUAUGGUGUAGCGGUGAAAUGCUUAGAGAUCAUACAGAACACCGAUUGCGAAGGCAGCUUACCAAACUAUAUCUGACGUUGAGGCACGAAAGCGUGGGUAGCAAACAGGAUUAGAUACCCUAGUAGUC